rnacentral:tRNA from 1 species
AAUGAGAUGCCUGAUUAAAGGACUAUCUUGAUAGGCGCUGAUGAGUUAUAACUCCCAGUUCUCUUAUUA